rnacentral:tRNA from 1 species
GGGCAGAUGGGAGAGUGGUUUAAUCCAGUCGCCUGGAACGCGGCCGCAGGUAACACUGCCGGGGGUUCGAAUCCCCCUCUGCCCGCCA